rnacentral:rRNA from 1 species
CCAAUAGCGUAUAUUAAAGUUGUUGCAGUUAAAAAGCUCGUAGUUGAAUUUCGGGGUUAGUAGGUUGGUCAUGCCUCUGGUAUGUACUGGUCUCACUGAUUCCUCCUUCCUGAUGAUCCGUAAUGCCAUUUAUUUGGUGUUGCGGGGAAUUUGGACUGUUACUUUGAAAAAAUUAGAGUGUUUAAAGCAAGCUAACGCUUGAAUACAUUAGCAUGGAAUAAUGAAAUAGGACGUUCGAUCCUAUUUUGUUGGUUUCUAGGAUUGACGUAAUGAUUAAUAGGGAUAGUUGGGGGCAUUAGUAUUCAAUGGUCAGAGGUGAAAUUCUUGGAUUUAUUGAAGACUAACUACUGCGAAAGCAUUUGCCAAGGAUGUUUUCAUUAAUCAAGAACGAAAGUUAGGGGAUCGAAGACGAUCAGAUACCGUCGUAGUCUUAACCAUAAACUAUGCCGACUAGGGAUCGGAUGAUGUUAAUUUUUUAAUGACUCAUUCGGCGCCUUACG